rnacentral:rRNA from 1 species
CGUAGGGUGCGAGCGUUAAUCGGAAUAAUUGGGCGUAAAGGGUGCGCAGGCGGUAAGCUAAGACGGAUGUGAAAUCCCUGGGCUCAACCUAGGAAUGGCAUACGUGACUGGCUCACUAGAAUAUGGCAGAGGGAGGUAGAAUUCCACAUGUAGCAGUGAAAUGCGUAGAUAUGUGGAGGAACACCGAUGGCGAAGGCAGCCUCCUGGGUCAAUAUUGACGCUCAGGCACGAAAGCGUGGGGAGCAAACAGGAUUAGAUACCCUGGUAGUCCACGCCCUAAACGAUGUCAACUAGUUGUUGGGGAAUUUAUUCCUUAGUAGCGUAGCUUACGCGUGAAGUUGACCGCCUGGGGAGUACGGUCGCAAGAUUA